rnacentral:rRNA from 1 species
UACGUAGGGUGCGAGCGUUAAUCGGAAUUACUGGGCGUAAAGCGCACGUAGGCGGACUGUUAAGUCGGGGGUGAAAUCCUGGAGCUCAACUCCAGAACUGCCUUUGAUACUGGCAAUCUCGAGUCCGGAAGAGGUGAGUGGAACUCCUAGUGUAGAGGUGGAAUUCGUAGAUAUUAGGAAGAACACCAGUGGCGAAGGCGGCUCACUGGUCCGGAACUGACGCUGAGGUGCGAAAGCGUGGGGAGCAAACAGG